UUGGAGGGCAAGUCUGGUGCCAGCAGCCGCGGUAAUUCCAGCUCCAAUAGCGUAUAUUAAAGUUGUUGCAGUUAAAAAGCUCGUAGUUGAAUUUCGGGGUCAUCAGGUUGGUCGUGCCACUGGUAUGCACUGGCCUUGGUGAUUCCUCCUUCUUGUAGAGCCGUGAUGCCAUUAAUUUGGUGUUGCGGGGAAACAGGACUGUUACUUUGAAAAAAUUAGAGUGUUUAAAGCAGGCUCACGCUUGAAUACAUUAGCAUGGAAUAAUAAAAUAGGACGUUCGAUCCUAUUUUGUUGGUUUCUAGGGUUGACGUAAUGAUUAAUAGGGAUAGUUGGGGGCAUUAGUAUUCAAUUGUCAGAGGUGAAAUUCUUGGAUUUAUUGAAGACUAACUACUGCGAAAGCAUUUGUCAAGGAUGUUUUCAUUAAUCAAGAACGAAAGUUAGGGGAUCGAAGACGAUCAGAUACCGUCGUAGUCUUAACCAUAAACUAUGCCGACUAGGGAUCGGAUGAUGUUAAUUUUUUAAUGACUCAUUCGGCGCCUUACGGGAAAC
rnacentral:rRNA from 1 species